UACGUAGGGACCGAGCGUUGUCCGGAUUUAUUGGGCGUAAAGAGCUCGUAGGCGGCUGUCCACGUCGGGUGUGAAAGCGCGGGGCUCAACCCUGAGAGGUCAUUCGAUACGGGACAGCUUGAGGCAGCUAGGGGAGAUUGGAAUUCCUGGUGUAGCGGUGAAAUGCGCAGAUAUCAGGAGGAACACCGGUGGCGAAGGCGGAUCUCUGGGGCUGUUCUGACGCUGAGGAGCGAAAGCUGGGGGAGCAAACAGG
rnacentral:rRNA from 1 species